UGUGGGAGCGAGCCUGCUCGCGAUAGCGGUAUGUCAGUAGCGCAUUAAUCAGCUGAUCCACCGCGAUCGCGAGCAGGCUCGCUCCCACA
rnacentral:misc_RNA from 1 species